AAUGGAAUGAUUAAUUAAGAGGAAGAAAGAAAAUUUCAGAGUAAGAGAUCAUAUAGAACUUAAUCGUAUAAAUUCGCAUCUAAAGAUGAGAUAAAGAAUACUAAAUAUAAAGUGGUAUUAAACUUUGUGCUUCAUUGAAUAUCUUUUGAAAGUUGGAUUUUCAUCUGUAUUCAUCGGUAAAUCAUUUAUUUCUGAAAAUUUAAUUGAAAAGGAUUCUAUCUGUCUUAGUUUCGAAAAUUUAUCUUGGAAUCUACUUAUGAGUUCUUAUUGGCUU
rnacentral:lncRNA from 1 species